AAUAUAACCCAAUUAAAAAAAAAAAAUCGGAAUUCAUUCUGUUCUGAGUCUCAUAUCUGCAACCCGGUCUCCUCACCCACUCACAUCCGCUGCAACUGCAACUCGGUAAUAUUUGAUUCAAACUAGAUCUGGUAACAUGAUACAUGAGCAAUGGAUCCAUUCUCGGUUGCUAACUUUACAACUCUUGCGGAUUCAUCCAUCCCACCAAUUUGAACCAGCUUAUCCUUUAAAUUCAUGCUUCAUCCAUCCCUUUAAUUUAUUCCCACUAUCAUCGGUUUUAUUAUUUCUUUAAUAUAUUUUUAAAUUUUUGGUUUAGUUGUUUACUGAUUUGUUGUUAGAAUUUUGAUAGCACUAGAAAAGAUGGGGCUGGAUAGUGUAAACAUUACAUGCAAGGUUUUAAAUACUAUGAAUUAAGUUCUUAAUUGAAUACAGAAAUUUUAUUGAAAACAGAGGAAACAUGAUGGAAGCAGAUCAUGAAGAUGGAAGUUAUGAUAGGAACAAGGAAUUAAAGCUUCUUGAGGAAACAAAAGCAGGUGUGAAGGGUCUUGUUGAUGCUGGUUUGACUAAGUUACCAAAGAUAUUCGUUCAUGACGGCCAUAAAGUCAACAUUUCUUCUUCUUCCUCUGCUACCAAUGUUAGUAUUCCAGUUAUUGAUUUGGGAUUACUACACGAAGAAGGUAAUUCACGCCAUGAGAUCAUUCAGAAAGUCAAAGAUGCGGGUGAGAAAUGGGAUUUCUUUCAAGUGGUCAACUGUGAUAUUCCACCAUGUGUUUUGGAUGAAAUGCUUGAUGGGGUACGUAGAUUUCAUGAGCAAGAUGCUGAGGUGAAGGGAUAAUUUUAUUCACGUCAUAUUACAAGGAGAGUGUUCUACAACACCAACUUCAAUUUUUAGAAAGCUUCAGAGGUUAAUUGAAGGGACACCCUCUCUUGUCUAUUGGCACCAGGGCCCCUUGACCGUCACCAACUCCCUUCCAUUUGCAGGUAUAUGGAGAAAGACUAGAACUCUAGCCUAGUUGUUGAUUUGGUAGAGACUCACAUGUAUUUUGUCAUCGUAUAAAGUUGAUAAUUGAGAACUGUAAGAUAAUUUGAUUUGAUAUGUUUGCAGAGAAGUAACAAUUAAGUACUUAGAUCAUGUCAAGAAACUGGCACUGACUUUGUUAGAAAUUAGAAUUGCUUUUGGAGUCAUUAGGCCUAGAACGUAGUUACUUUAACGACAUAGAUUGAGCUAAAGGGAUUUUUAUGCUUGGACAUUAUUACUCUCCUUGCCCUGAGCCUGAACUCACUUGGGGGUUAAGUGCCAUACAGGUGUAGGUUUUGUAACUGUUCUUCUACAAGACUAAGUUGGUGGACUUCAAGUCUUUUAUGAAAACCAGUGGAUUGAUGUCACUCCUAUUUCUGCUGCUCUCAUCACUAAUCUUGGUGAUAUGAUGCAGCUAAUCACAAAUGACAAGUUUAUGAGCGCCAAACACGGAGUUCUUGCUCAGAAAGUAGGUCCACGAGUUUUGAUUUCAUGCUCUCUGAGACAACAUGUUCAGGAUGAAUGUCUAAGAAUGUAUGGACCAAUAAAAGAGUUGGUGACAGAAGAGAGUCCUCCAAUUUAUAAGGAAAUAAAAAUGCUGGACUUGAUUAAACUGGCGUAUACCAAAAAGUUAGAUGACGAUGUCUCUCCACUAGAACACUUCAGGAUAUGAAGCAUUAAGAAUUAAAGAUAUUCCUGUAUAAAAGUAUAUUAAUUACAAACUUUCUCGAGAAAUUCUAAAGUGAGAGAUUCAACAUUUGCUGUUAUAGAAACUCUCAUGUUUUGUAUCUAAAUAAAGAGUAAUUCUCCAC